GAUCAUGGCUCAGAUUGAACGCUGGCGGCAGGCCUAACACAUGCAAGUCGAGCGGAUGAAGAGAGCUUGCUCUUUGAUUCAGCGGCGGACGGGUGAGUAAUGCCUAGGAAUCUGCCUGAUAGUGGGGACAACGUUUCGAAAGGGCGCUAAUACCGCAUACGUCCUACGGGAGAAAGCAGGGGACCUUCGGGCCUUGCGCUAUCAGAUGAGCCUAGGUCGGAUUAGCUUAGG
rnacentral:rRNA from 1 species